CCGGAUAAUCCUUUGUGGCAGGGUGACUUCCGGUUUAUUUCCGGGUUAUAACAGCGAUAAAUAUGGACUAAUUAUCGUUCCAGAUAUGAUAUGCAGAUGUUAUCUACUGAGACCAUCACUUUCAAUGAAGAACAUCACUACAAUCGGUUGGGCUGCUAGAUUGGUAGCAAUAUGAUUGUAGCCCAGUGAGAUUUUAGUGGUUUACAACCUAUCACUUACCAUUGACCAAUUAUCUCCCUUUUUGUAAAUUGACCACUUACUCCAAAACCAGUUUUGGUUGGACAAAGCUAUUUUUAGAAAAAACCAGUUUGAUGAGAGCCUUUGUCCAGAACAGGUCAUUGUGGCAGACAUGUUUGUUUUAAGAAGUUUUAAAUAAGGAUCUUGGAUCAUUUUAUAUUUGGUAUGUAUUCACUUAUGAUUUGAUAUUAUCAUAAAUGAUAACCAUUGUGUUGCAUUUAUUCUGAAUUUGUGUUUUGGACAAUUCCAAGUAAAUUACAUAUUUUCUUGAGAUGGUUGAAAUGGCAGUUACUUUGACACCCAGUUUUGUGCAUGAUUUGUUUAUGCAAUGAUUAACUUGCAGACCAUAACAGCACUGUGAGAGAUGUAUGACAAUGAGAGCUAGAGAUGUUGCUGUGCUGAGUUGUUGUUGAUGGCACUUGAUUCCAUAAAUCUUGUGUUGACAUAUUCGACUACGACUAUUAGAGUAUUAGACUAUUCGAGUGUUUGAUUACUGUUAUACCAUGCACGUAUUGAUUGGACAUUAAAGAUAUGUGAACCCUUGACACCUUGUGUGACUUUUCCCCUUAUAAGUAACAAUACAUAUAAGUGUGGUGGGACACCAAAGGUUAUAUGAUGUAAGCUAGUGCCUCUUGAAACACUAUUGUUGGUUGGGCAUCUAUUGCUUACUGGGCCUAAAAACAAAAUGUUUGGUUAGGGUUACAUCCUUUUCAAAAAUAGGUAUGGUAGGUAGGCUUUUUUUUUAUUAGGCUUUAUAAUAGAAUGUCAUUUUCAUCAUUGGAAAAUGGUGUUAAAGUUAUCUUCUAUAUAAGCAAUUAAGGUUUUAAACUACUUAUUGAAAAGCAAAAAAAAUAAAAUGGUAGGGUCGGCGCCUAUUCCGUAGGUAGGGUCGGGUAACCCGAACCAAAUGUAUUUUUUUUAGGCCCUGGACCGCUAUAUUGGAUGGACCAUACGUGUUGGUUGAACAACAGUUACUAUAAAUGGUUGGACCGGAAGUGUUGGUUGGACCACCAGAGUUGUUUGGACUGCUUGUUGGACAGAAUGUGUGAUGGACAACUAGUAUUAUUUGAAUCACUGUUGGAUAGACAGCUUUUGUUUUAUCAGACAGCUAUAAUCAGUUGAUUUACAAGUUCCUGGAUCGCUAGUUCCUGGUGGAUAAAUAUUCCAUGUACAGAAGGAAACAAAAAGGUUCUUUUGCUAACUGUAACAAUGACAUGGUUGGUGAAUUGGUAUCAGACAAUUUGCAGCCAAGACAACACAGUGAAAUGAUAGCCGAUUCCUUAAACUCUAAAUGGCAAAUCAUAGAGAAUACAUCAUAGCUUUUGCUUUUCUGUGUUUUUUUUUCCCCGAUCAAAAAAUAAAA